rnacentral:lncRNA from 1 species
GAAAUUCGCGGGAGACGAGCUCCAAGCCUCAAAUGUCGUGUGUCUGCUCCUGGGGUACCUGCUGGCCCUGAAUCAAGCCUCUGCAUCCCUGGGACUCCAGGAACUUUGGGAUCCAGAGAAGCAAGCUCUUUUAUCCCAGGACCCAUGACUGCCCAAGCUGUGAGCUUCCUGAGGGCAGGGACCCUGUUCUCUCUCCCAGAGCCAGGGCUCCAUGUUGGAACUGGCCCUGACAGCGUCUGUUAAACCUCCACGAAACGACGUUCCUGAACUUGAAGCCAUAGGACAGGACUCUGAAGAUCACCAAAUCACAUCGUGAGAAAACAAAGCCCUUUUCAGCUCUGCACCGGUCCUUCUCGUGACAGCAAGGAGAACGUGUCGGGCUGGCUGGAGGAUGUCUUUAACACUCACCCCUCUCACCCUCGCCCACCUCCACAUAGAACCAAGAACACGCAGGUCCUAGACUCAGACUCUGGUGGAUGAAUGUGUGUAGCAAAAGUGACCGCAUUGCUUUAUUUUAGAAUUAUCUCCAAUUUAUACCAGGUGAUACUGGUUUUCCACUUGUAAUAGCAAUGUUAUUUUUCUGAAGUUUGUUUUUAAUUUUAAUUCACUUUCAGACAUACAGUAAAAUUGCAAGCAUAAUAGAGUUCCUGUACCUUUCACCCAGGUUCACUUAGUGUUAAUAUCCUUCCCUCUCUCUCUGCCUCUUCCCCUACCUUCCCCACCAAACUACCUACCUACCUACACACACACACACAC